rnacentral:rRNA from 1 species
UACGGAGGAUGCAAGCGUUAUCCGGAAUGAUUGGGCGUAAAGCGUCCGCAGGUGGCAGUUCAAGUCUGCUGUCAAAGACCGGGGCUUAACUUCGGAAAGGCAGUGGAAACUGAACAGCUAGAGUAUGGUAGGGGCAGAGGGAAUUCCUGGUGUAGCGGUGAAAUGCGUAGAGAUCAGGAAGAACAUCGGUGGCGAAGGCGGGUCUCUGGGCCGAUACUGACGCUGAGGAGCGAAAGCGUGGGGAGCGAACAGG